rnacentral:rRNA from 1 species
UACGGAGGGGGCUAGCGUUGUUCGGAAUUACUGGGCGUAAAGCGCACGUAGGCGGCUUUGUAAGUUAGAGGUGAAAGCCCGGGGCUCAACUCCGGAAUUGCCUUUAAGACUGCAUCGCUAGAAUUGUGGAGAGGUAAGUGUAAUUCCGAGUGUAGAGGUGAAAUUCGUAGAUAUUCGGAAGAACACCAGUGGCGAAGGCGACUUACUGGACACAUAUUGACGCUGAGGUGCGAAAGCGUGGGGAGCAAACAGG